rnacentral:rRNA from 1 species
AGUGAACGCUGGCGGUAGGCCUAACACAUGCAAGUCGAACGGCAGCACAGUAAGAGCUUGCUCUUACGGGUGGCGAGUGGCGGACGGGUGAGGAAUACAUCGGAAUCUACUUUUUCGUGGGGGAUAACGUAGGGAAACUUACGCUAAUACCGCAUACGACCUACGGGUGAAAGCAGGGGAUCUUCGGACCUUGCGCGAUUGAAUGAGCCGAUGUCGGAUUAGCUAGUUGGCGGGGUAAAGGCCCACCAAGGCGACGAUCCGUAGCUGGUCUGAGAGGAUGAUCAGCCACACUUGAACUGAGACACGGUCCCGACUCCUACGGGAGGCAGCAGUGGGGAAUAUUGGACAAAGGGCGCAAGCCUGAUCCAGCCAUACCGCGUGGGUGAAGAAGGCCUUCGGGUUGUAAAGCCCUUUUGUUGGGAAAGAAAAGCAGCAGGUUAAUACCCCGCUGUUCUGACGGUACCCAAAGAAUAAGCACCGGCUAACUUCGUG